GCACGACAAGGUUAAUCCGAGUGAUUUCUGCUAAAGGAAUCUUUUGUUAGUUCUAAAAAUACUAGUGAAUAAGGGGUGGGCAAGUUCUGGUGUCAGCCGCCGCGGUAAAACCAGCACCUCAAGUGGUCAGGAGGAUUAUUGGGCCUAAAGCAUCCGUAGCCUGUUCUAUAAGUUUGCGGUUAAAUCUAUACGCUCAACGUAUAGGCUGCCGUAAAUACUGUAGAACUAGGGAGUGGGAGAGGUAGACGGUACUCGAUAGGAAGGGGUAAAAUCCUUUGAUCUAUUGAUGACCACCUGUGGCGAAGGCGGUCUACCAGAACACGUUCGACGGUGAGGGAUGAAAGCUGGGGGAGCAAACCGGAUUAGAUACCCGGGUAGUCCCAGCUGUAAACGAUGCAGACUCGAUGAUGCAAUGGCAUAGAGCUAUUGCAGUAUCGCAGGGAAGCCGUUAAGUCUGCCGCCUGGGAAGUACGUACGCAAGUAUGAAACUUAAAGGAAUUGGCGGGGGAGCACCACAAGGGGUGAAGCCUGCGGUUCAAUUGGAGUCAACGCCAGAAAUCUUACCCGGAGAGACAGCAGAAUGAAGGUCAGGCUGAAGACCUUAC
rnacentral:rRNA from 1 species